rnacentral:rRNA from 1 species
AUUGAACGCUGGCGGCAGGCUUAACACAUGCAAGUCGAGCGGAGAUGAGGUGCUUGCACCUUAUCUUAGCGGCGGACGGGUGAGUAAUGCUUAGGAAUCUGCCUAUUAGUGGGGGACAACAUUCCGAAAGGAAUGCUAAUACCGCAUACGUCCUACGGGAGAAAGCAGGGGAUCUUCGGACCUUGCGCUAAUAGAUGAGCCUAAGUCGGAUUAGCUAGUUGGUGGGGUAAAGGCCUACCAAGGCGACGAUCUGUGGCGGGUCUGAGAGGAUGAUCCGCCACACUGGGACUGAGACACGGCCCAGGCUCCUACGGGAGGCAGCAGUGGGGAAUAUUGGACAAUGGGCGGAAGCCUGAUCCAGCCAUGCCGCGUGUGUGAAGAAGGCCUUUUGGUUGUAAAGCACUUUAAGCGAGGAGGAGGCUACCUGGAUUAAUACUCUAGGAUAGUGGACGUUACUCGCAGAAUAGGCACCGGCUAACUCUGUGCCAGCCGCCGCGGUAACAC